rnacentral:rRNA from 1 species
GGCCCUAUGGGUUGUAAAGCUCUGUCAGAUUGGGAAGAAAAUCCUACGGUUAAUACCCGUGGGACUUGACGGUACCAUCAGAGGAAGCACCGGCUAACUCCGUGCCAGCAGCCGCGGUAAUACGGAGGGUGCAAGCGUUGUUCGGAUUCACUGGGUAUAAAGGGUGCGCAGGCGGCCCGAUAAGUCAGGGGUGAAAUAUGACGGCUCAACCGUCAAACUGCCCCUGAAACUGUCAGGCUUGAGUUCGAGAGAGGUAGGUGGAAUUCCAGGUGUAGCGGUGAAAUGCGUAAAUAUCUGGAGGAACACCGGUGGCGAAGGCGGCCUACUGGCUCGAUACUGACGCUCAGGCACGAAAGCAUGGGGAGCGAACGGGAUUAGAUACCCCGGUAGUCCAUGCCGUAAACGAUGGGUACUAGGUGUUGGAGGAUUCUACCCCUUCAGUGCCGCAGCUAACGCAUUAAGUACCCCACCUGGGGAGUACGAUCGCAAGGUUGAAACUCAAAGGAAUUGACGGGGGCCCGCACAAGCGGUGGAGCAUGUGGUUUAAUUCGAUGCAACGCGAAGAACCUUACCUGGGCUUGACAUGCAGGGGACAGAUGUAGAAAUACAUCCUUCUUCGGACUCCUGUACAGGUGCUGCAUGGCUGUCGUCAGCUCGUGUCGUGAGAUGUUGGGUUAAGUCCCGCAACGAGCGCAACCCU